CGAAGUUUUCAUGGAGACGAACUCAAUUCCUCCUUCAUCAGCUUCCACAACAAACGGAAAGAAUUUUGGUACAAAAAACAAUUCACCUUCUUCCACUUUAGUAUCCAACACAACCUUACCAAACAGUCCCACAAUUACAACACGUCCACUCCCUUUCGU